AAAUUGAAGAGUUUGAUCAUGGCUCAGAUUGAACGCUGGCGGCAGGCCUAACACAUGCAAGUCGAACGGUAGCACAGAGAGCUUGCUCUCGGGUGACGAGUGGCGGACGGGUGAGUAAUGUCUGGGAAACUGCCUGAUGGAGGGGGAUAACUACUGGAAACGGUGGCUAAUACCGCAUAACGUCGCAAGACCAAAGAGGGGGACCUUCGGGCCUCUUGCCAUCAGAUGUGCCCAGAUGGGAUUAGCUUGUUGGUGAGGUAACGGCUCACCAAGGCGACGAUCCCUAGCUGGUCUGAGAGGAUGACCAGCCACACUGGAACUGAGACACGGUCCAGACUCCUACGGGAGGCAGCAGUGGGGAAUAUUGCACAAUGGGCGCAAGCCUGAUGCAGCCAUGCCGCGUGUAUGAAGAAGGCCUUCGGGUUGUAAAGUACUUU
rnacentral:rRNA from 1 species